rnacentral:rRNA from 1 species
AUUGAACGCUGGCGGCAGGCCUAACACAUGCAAGUCGAGCGGAUGAAGGGAGCUUGCUCCUGGAUUCAGCGGCGGACGGGUGAGUAAUGCCUAGGAAUCUGCCUGGUAGUGGGGAUAACGUCCGGAAACGGGCGCUAAUACCGCAUACGUCCUGAGGGAGAAAGUGGGGGAUCUUCGGACCUCACGCUAUCAGAUGAGCCUAGGUCGGAUUAGCUAGUUGGUGGGGUAAAGGCCUACCAAGGCGACGAUCCGUAACUGGUCUGAGAGGAUGAUCAGUCACACUGGAACUGAGGCACGGUCCAGACUCCUACGGGAGGCAGCAGUGGGGAAUAUUGGACAAUGGGCGAAAGCCUGAUCCAGCCAUGCCGCGUGUGUGAAGAAGGUCUUCGGAUUGUAAAGCACUUUAAGUUGGGAGGAAGGGCAGUAAGUUAAUACCUUGCUGUUUUGACGUUACCAACAGAAUAAGCACCGGCUAACUUCGUG